GUCCCAAGGGUAUGGCUGUUCGCCAUUUAAAGUGGUACGCGAGCUGGGUUUAGAACGUCGUGAGACAGUUCGGUCCCUAUCUGCCGUGGGCGUUGGAGAUUUGAGAGGAGCUGCUUCUAGUACGAGAGGACCGAAGUGGACGUACCUCUGGUGUUCCGGUUGUCACGCCAGUGGCAUUGCCGGGUAGCUAUGUACGGACGGGAUAACCGCUGAAAGCAUCUAAGCGGGAAGCCUCCCUCAAGAUUAGAUCUCCCUAGACUCUUGAAGUCUCUGAAGAUUCGUCGAAGACUACGACGUUGAUAGGCAAGGUGUGGAAGCUCAGUAAUGAGUGAAGCUAACUUGUACUAAUUAAUCGUGUGGCUUACUAUGCAACCUUAAAUGGUUUUAU
rnacentral:rRNA from 1 species